rnacentral:rRNA from 1 species
GUAGGGUGCGAGCGUUAUCCGGAAUCAUUGGGCGUAAAGAGCUCGUAGGCGGUUCAGCAAGUCGGCUGUGAAAUUCCGAGGCUCAACCUCGGAACUGCAGUCGAUACUGCUGUGACUCGAGUCCGGUAGAGGAGAAUGGAAUUCCCGGUGUAGCGGUGAAAUGCGCAGAUAUCGGGAGGAACACCAGUAGCGAAGGCGGUUCUCUGGGCCGGCACUGACGCUGAGGAGCGAAAGCGUGGGGUAGCAAACAGGAUUAGAUACCCUGGUAGUCCACGCCGUAAACGUUGGAUACUAGGUGUGGGGUUCCGACCAACGGUCCCCGUGCCGAAGCUAACGCAUUAAGUAUCCCCGCCUGGGGAUACGGCCGCAAGGCUA